AGCACCAAGGGCUUGGUGCUAUCGAUAGUAUUCCAGCCGGACUCUCUCUCUCUCUCUCUCUAUAUAUAUAUAUAUCUUUGUUCUUGGUGGUGUUCUUUGUGUGUUAGCUCUUUAAGAUCCACCUGGAGACUAUAAGCAUUCAUGGUGUUCUUUGGUUUCUGAAGUUUUUGUAGUUUAAGUUUGGUUUUGCCAUGCACAUGUAGUCACCAUUUUUGCUUGCAUGACUCAAAUAAUGUACUUUCUGUCAGAUGUACAGCUCACUGGUGUAUUGUUUCAAGUUUGAAGCAGCAGGAAUUAUCUUGGAAGUUUCAGUUUAGGAGUUGUGCUGCUGAUAAAUUUGACAGAUCUGUGACACUUUGUGCUCACAUUAAGCAGUAUAAGAAUUCAGUUUCUUCCAAUGUGAACAUAUUCUGAGGCCUGUCUCUUAAAGCCAAAGGUACAAUUUGAUGCUGUCUGUGACUGUGACUGAGGGGGCCAUAUUACUUCACUAAUGAUGCUUUUUUGCACCAACCUCUCUUUACUCCGGAAUCAGCGUUGUAAUGUUCAGACCCUGUUCAUGGAGAAAGUCUACUGUUUAACACUAA